GGGCGACCGCAGUCAGAGACUCACCAUGGAGCGCAGGGUGGUCAAGCCACCGGGACAGGAUAUGGUAGUGGAGCGUCUCAAAAGCCGCUACGGCCUGGCGGGAAGGUGCCCCGUGGAGGUGAGAUGGGUGGAAGCCGCGGUGGGCUCUGCUGGGCGGCCGCGGGAGGUCGCUAGCCCUGCCUUCCUCGGGGAGGCUCACUAGAGAGUUCCCGCCCUCGGGGAAACCGCCUCGACGGACGGGGCGUGGCUUUGGUCCUGGUAACCAAUGCUGGCGGUGACCAAAGUGCAGCAGGCACGGAAGACACUGUAGUUCCUUCUGGAAAGCAUCUUACUCCGAAGUAAUUGCAAACUUACAGAAAAGUUGUGGCGAUGUGCAUUCUUGUAGUCCUCCCUUGAGAGCGCCAUUCACCAGGAGAGUCUUGCCAUUUUUGAGGCGGGGCCCCCACUGAGGUCUUUGCUAAUAUCUUGUGAGAGGUCGGCCAGAUCACAUCUUCGAUGAAUCCUGGAAGAACAGAAGCGGGAGACCAAUUACAUACCUCAGUUUGCACGACCAGAUUCGGUUUUUUUUUUUAAAUCCUCACCCUCUGAUAACAGAGUUAGGUGUUUACAGUUCAGCUGAGAAGCCUGCUUGACAGCCCAGCAUGGUCAAGGUUAUAUAAAGCAUAACAAUGUUGUCUUCAAAAAAAUCAUCUGAGGUAUGGGAACAUCAUUUACCCUGACUUCUCCAGAAGGAAAACGACAUGACUGGUGUGUGGGCUGCUCUGAUGAAUCAACAGCAUGAACUUUCAGAUUUUGACCAGACUAAAUAUAAAAGAAGAAUUGUGACCUCCCCAGAUGGUUUAGAUACUUACAGCUCUGGAGAUAAAGUGGGUUCCUCACCAAGAUAUUACUCUGAUGGAAGGAAUCAUCCGACUCCACCUUUCUGCAGUUCCUUCAAACAUUUAAAUGUGAACUGCCUAGAUGAUGAACUGGAUUCUUUUCAUGAUUUAAAGAAAUGGGAAACAGAAAAGGAAUUAAUGGAAGAUGAUCAUAGAGAUGGUGCCUCCAAAAUAACAAAGCAGUCUUUCAAAGAAAUGGAAACCGAUGCCUUGAUGACUAGCAUGGCCUCAGGCCUUGAGACUGAAUGCUGCAGUGGUUCCAUUGACAGUCCUCUGAAGCAGGCCGUGUACCCAAGACCCAAAGUGUCAAAGAAGCAGGGUUUGCUUCCACAUGAAAUAAAUCAAAUAUAUGAUGAAUUAUACCAUAUACAUAUGAAACUGCAGUAUGAAACUACAGCACAGAAGAAAUUUGCAGAAGAACUUCAAAAACGAGAACAGUUUUUAGCAGAACGAGAACAGCUGCUUUUCAGCCAUGAAACUGCCUUGAGCAAAAUUAAAGGUGUGAAAGAAGAGGUUCUGACAAGAUUUCAGAUUUUAAAGGAGCAACAUGGUACGGAAAUUGAACACUUAACUGAAGCUCUUAAGGAAAAGAAUAAAGAGAACAAGAGAAUGAGGUCCUCCUUUGAUACCCUGAGAGAGCUGAAUGAUAACUUAAGAAAACAGCUAAAUGAAGUAAGUGAGGAAAACAAGAAGAUGGAGAUUCAGGCCAAAAGGGUCCAAGCUCGUUUAGAUAACUUACAGAGGAAGUAUGAGUUUAUGACAGUGCAGAGACUGAAAGGAGACUCCCAUGCUGCUCAUGAAGUGAAGAGUUCAAAACAAGAAAAGGCCCCAGCUCCAAAACCCUUCAAGGCAGCACUCAAUGGACAAGUGUACGAGCUGCUCACUGUUUUCAUGGAUUGGAUAUCAGACUGCCACCUUAGCAAAGUGGAGCCUGAGGAACCUGGUGUAGAUGGGGGAAAGCCACCAGCCAAGCCUUCCCAGAGAAGUGACAUUCAAGAGAAAUGUGUAAAGCUGUUGCCUAUGAUGACAGAGCAGCUCCAGUGGAUGCCGCUAGUGAGCGCCAAACUGCACGAGCCGUUCGUAAGGUUUAUCUAUUGGUCUCUGAGGCAGCUGGAUGCCAGCGCACGGGUACUGAGUCAUUGGAAUGUGUCUUACCAUCAGUUCUCUUGGCCAUGUUUCACAGAAAAGGAGAUAGCACGUGUGCAUACACUCUGUUCUUUUUCUGUUUAAGAACAAUCUUCUCUGUUCAAUACUGUCCUAAGGGUCUGAUAGGAAUUGUAUUCAACUUGUAGACCAAUUCAUGUGCUCAGUCUUUUCAACAUAGGAACGUACCCAUCUUUUCACUCACAACGUCAUGUUCUUGCAUCAGUAUUGUAUAAUUUUUGCAUAAAAUUCAUGUGAACGCUCACAGUCAUCCAUUAAACGGAGCACAGGGUCCCCAAUGGAGGAGCUAGAAAAGGUCCCCAGGGAGCUGAAGGGGUGUGCAGCCCCAUAGGAGGAACAACAACAUGAACCAACCAGUACCCCCAGAGCUCCCUGGGACUAAACCACCAAAAGAAAAACAAAACAAAACAAAACAAAACAAAACACACCACACAUACACAGAGGGACUCGUUGCUCUAGCUGCAUAUGUAGCAGAGGAUGGCCUAGUCGGUCAUCAAUGAGAGGAGAGGCUCUUGACACUGUGAAGGUUCUAUGCCCCAGUACAGGGGAAUGCCUGGGCCAGGAAAUGGGAGUGGGUGGGUUGAGGAGCAGGGGGAGGGGGGAGAGGAUAGGGGGUUUUCGGAUGGGAAACUAGGAAAGGGGAUAACAUUUGAAAUGUAAAUAAAGAAAAUACUAAUAAAAAAUUCAUGUGCACACUCCUUUAGAUCUUCACCUAUUUAAGUAUUUAAGUGAUAUUUAUCUGUUAAACUUUGUAGUCUAUAUGUUUAUGGUACUAGCAUGUUUGCCUACAUGCAUGUAAGUGCACCAUGUGCAUGCAGUGUCCACAGAGGUAAAAACAAGAGCAUUGGAUAACCUGACUGGAAUUACAGAGGGUUGUGAGUUAUGUGGGUGCUGGGAACUGAACCCAGGUCUUCUGCAAGACCAAUAAGUGUUCUUAAGCAAUAAGCCAUCUCUGUAGGCCUGAGAUAUAUUUUGAGGAAAGUUUUAAAUUAUGAAUUUAAUUUUUAUUAAAUUUUUAUAAUAUUGUGUGUGUAUGUGUGUGUGCACGAGCACACACCAUGCACACAUAGCACAUACAUGGGCUCUUAAGCCAUGCAGAGGUCAGAGGACAACUUCCACCAUGUGGGUUCCGAAGAUUAAAGUUAGGUUGGCAAGUUAGGCAGCAGGGGCCUUUCCCUGUUGAACCAUCUCCCCAGCCCCAGAUCCUGGUAGUUACACGGUUAUUGUGAUUUUUCUAACUUCUUGUAGUUUGUGACUUUUGAGGAAAUGGCUUAUUUUGUCUCACCGACAAAUACACAUCUAGGAUUUGGAAUGUAAAGAUAAGGUAUGCUCUCUGACAUCAGCCGCUGCACGGAGACAGACAAUGUGUUUUCACGGGGCCCUCCCUCUUCUUUGUGCCUCAGUGUCCAGAGUAGUGGCUCUGUUACACAUCAGUGUGGACAAUUUGUGGGCAUUUACUUCUUUACCUUGGCUGUUUUUCCUAAACUUUUUUUUUUUAUUGAUCUUUCAAAGGAUCAUUUCAUUGCUUCAAUUUAAUUAAUUUCUUCUACAAUUUUUGCUUUCAAUUUAAUUAAUUUCUUCUCCUCUCUUAUUUUCUCCUACUACUUUAAGUUUAUUUUGCUCUCUUAUUUCUAGGUUACUGAACUGAAGAUUUAGAUUACUGUUUUACGACUGUUUAUUCUUUUCUGUAUGUUGUAGUGUUUGAAUUGACAUAAUUUUACUGUGUAGCCUAGUCUGGCCUUAACUCACAGGUCUGUCUCAGCAGUGCUGAGAUUACAAUGUGUGUCACUGUGCCAGCUUCUCUCUUCCCUCCUCCCCGCUCCUCCCCUCCCUCCCAUCCUCCUCCCCUCCCUCUGUCCCUCCUCCUUCCCCUCACCCAUUCAGGUUCUUAUGCUUGUUUGUUCAGCAGCCACCUGAGGCAUCUCCCUUAUCCUACAUGUUUUGGUAGCCACAUUUUCAUUUAUACUUUUAAAAAUAUUUAUUUUACUUUUAUUUAUGUGUUUGUAUGUGUGUGUGUGUGUGUGUCUGUAUGGGUUUGUGCCAGAAGAGGGUGUCAGAUAUCUUGGACCUGGAGUUAGAAGCAGUUGUGAGCUGCCUGGCCGGGGUGCUGGGAUGUGAACUCUAGCUGUCUACAGGGGCAGCAAACACUCAUGAGUGCUGAGCCAUCUCUCCAGUCCCUUCAUUUACGAUGAACUUAGCUAGUGUUUUAAUUCCCUUAGAACUUCCUCUCUGUCCUAUGUCUUACUUAGAAGUUCCUUGUAGGUCUUUCUGUUUUUGUUUUGCUGCUGUGUCUGUAUUGUUGAAGUUAGUUCUUUGAUAUUUGUUCUGUUGUAGAGUGUUUUAUAAAUGUUAACUGGUGGUAUUUAUAUCCUCACUGAUAUAUUUAGUUCUCCUAUCAGUAGAGGAUAGUGUUUGGAGUUAUGUCACAGCCUGUGCAUCUGUCUUAGAAGAUUGUGUGCUAAAGUUAUGUCAUAGCCUGUGCAUUUGUGUUUCUCUUGGACCAUCUGUUUUUCUCUCACAUUAAAUAGUUAAUUUAAUUUUUUUUUUUCAUGAGAGCUGGGCAGUGGUGGCACAUACCUUUAACCCAGCACUCAGGAAGCAGAGGCACAUGGAUCUCUGAUUUGAAGCCAGUCUGGUCUACAUAGCAAGUUCCAGUUUGUCUGAGGCUACACAGAGCAACCCUGUCUCAAAAAACCAAACAAUCAAACAAAUAACCUUAUUAUGUGCAUGCACAUUUUACCUGUACGUAUACCACCACAUGUAUGCAGUACCCGUUGAUAUCAGAAGAGGGCCUCAGAUUGGCAUGAGUUGGAGUUAUACUUGUGAGCUGCCAUGUUAUGCUGGAAACCUAACCCCGGUCCUAUGCAAGAGCAGGAGGUGCUCUUAGCACCACACCAGCUCUCCAGCCUGUUCCACGUGGUACAACUUUGUUGGCUGGUGGAUAUACAUUCAGGAUUAUUACGUCUUCUUGAAUAUUGACCCUGUUUCUAUUAUGUAAUUUUCUUUUCAUUGUGAUCAUUUUCUUUAAUUUUUUUGAAUGACGCAAGUUUUAAUUGUUUUAGACUUUUAAAAAUAGGAACAUUCUGAGCUUAGAAUCAGUUUACAGAUCCUCAUGAAGAUGGAAAAUUAUGAAAAUCAGUGAUAAGGGCAGGAAGAAUUAAGUCACAACACGGAAACCUCUAAGUUAUUUCUAAGUCUAGCGUAAACGGUCUCGUUUCCAGUACUUUGAAAUGGCUUCCUCAUGUUUGUGUUAUGAGACUGCAGAACACCACCAGGUUCCAUAUUAUUGUAGAGAUACCAUUAUCUCUGUUUUGUCCAUUUUCUUGUUGCAAUAUAUUCCAUGAGAAUUUUCCAUGAUUCUCACCCAUUAUUUUUUUUUUUUUUUGAACUUACUAUGUUUUCAGAGUCCCUGGGGGUAUCUAUAAGCAAGACUGAUCUGAAAAUGUGAAGUCAGUCAUUUGACAAGCAAACCCUUCUGUGUCCUUGCCCAGGACAUGGCCUGGGGCUGGGGCUGGGGUUGGGGCUGGGGCUGGGGCUAGCCUAGGGCUGGAAGGAGUUAAGUUAGUCUUGGUUCCUGGGAACCCGGCUUUUCCUCCUUGAAGAGACUUGGGCCAUCUGUGCUCAGUCUCUGAGGCUUCCUCUGUGCAGCAUUGCUUGACAAGCUUCCUGCUGGCUCCACCCUUUCAUCUGGUCCUCUGAGAAAACCUUGGGAUGGCCUGGCUCCCAAGAGGAAAAGUGCAAUCAACUAUGGCAUCAACAUUGAGGAGAUUGGGGGAAGACGUAUUUAAAGGAGUUACAAUGAAAGGAACUCAGGAUAAUUCUUUAGAGCAUUCUGUGGAGAACAAAGCAAAGACAGCAGUGUUCUUCAAGAGCUCCAGCUUGCCACUGAGAUUCUUAUCAACCUUAAUUGUCCUCAGAACGGUCACUCAAGCUGACUACCUAGCUCAAGCGUUUGACUCCCUUUGUUUGGACUUGAAGACAGAUGAAGGAAAAACCUUAUUUUUGGAGUACCAAGCCAUUCCAGUAAUCCUAAAACACCUGAGAAUAUCCAGUAAAGGGCUCUUAUCCAAUGUCAUCGACAGCCUGCUUCAGAUGACAGUAGAGUCAAAGUCCCUGCAGCCAUUCCUGGAAGCCUGUAGUAACUCUUUGUUUUUUCGUACUUGUUCUGUGCUGCUGCGAACGCCGAAACUUGAUCUUCACAUCCUGGAAAAGCUCAGCAUCAUUCUACAGAAGCUUUCCAAAAUCAAGAGUAACAAGAAGCUCUUUGAAGUUUUUACCAUUCACCUAAUGCUUCAGGAAAUACAAAGGACAACACAUCCAGAGCACGCCUUUCUCUGUAUUAAUCUGAAUUCAACUCUGUUCAACCUGGGUUUGACAAAAUGUAACUCCCUGGUCACUAGUACAAGCCAUUAGAAAAAUGUGUGUGUGUGUGUGUGUGUGUGUGUGUGUGAUAUGUAUGUAUAUGUGUUCUUUAUUUGUAAAAGUGGAAAAAUCACUAAAAUACAAUUCCUCAGAGUAAAAUUAUUAACAGCAUCAUUUAUCAUGAAAGAUAUCUAGAAAGAUUUUUCAGCAACGUAAAUGAGACCCGUAGAAGGUAUGGCUGUUUUAGAAUGUUUCAGUUUAAGGUAAUACUAAUGUACAAGAUGACUUUUCCAGAAUUCAAGGCAUCAGGGUUAGAAUUCAAAGCAAUAGGGUUACAGUUUGUAAAAAUAUUUUAGGAAAAGUCUUCUUGAAAUUAUGUGAUUAUUUGGAAUAUAAUUUGUCCUUAUGUGGAAAUAAACUAUGUUAUCAUUUUUCCCUUAA